rnacentral:rRNA from 1 species
GUCCACGCUGUAAACGAUGAUCACUAGACGUUGGUUCUGCCUAGCAGAAUUAGUGUCGUAGCUAACGCGAUAAGUGAUCCGCCUGGGGAGUACGGUCGCAAGACUAAAACUUAAAGAAAUUGACGGGGUCGCACAAGCGGUGGAACAUGUGGUUUAAUUCGACACUACGCGAGAAACCUUACCUAGGCUUGACAUGUUUUUGACUGUUGUAGAAAUACGACUUUCCAAGUCUUUGACUUGGACAAAUUCACAGGUGCUGCAUGGCUGUCGU